rnacentral:misc_RNA from 1 species
AGGGGAAAAAAAAAACAUUGCUUUGCCGAGUACUGCCAGAACCAUAUCCCAUCAAUCCCCCAAAUUCUAUCACACCUCGAGGUUCACAUGAGUGAAUCAAGAAAAACAAAUAUUAGAUGUCACAGAACGGAAUCAAAUUACACGACUUAAAGGUUGCAGUGUAUAUUACUUAACAAGAUAACAAAUUAGUAUUUUCUUAUCUUUAGUUAAUACGAAAGGGUUCAGAAAAAACUAAAGAGAUUCACACUCAAAAGGGUUGCUGACAUAGCAUGAACAAAAGUUGUUAGAUCUUAUAAGAAAAAGCCUUCUCACAAUACCCUUCCCCUCAUUUCAGUUUUAACAACCAAACUCAUGUGUUCAUAAACACACAAAAGAACUGUAUCCAAAUAUUGAUAAUUUUAGAUGCUCCAGAAUCUUAGCAAGGUAAGCGUGUUCAAGUUUCGAUUGCACUAAUUUUGUAUAUAUUUCAUUUACUUAUUUAAUAUUCCUAUGGCUCUGUUAUGUUACCAGGAAUAAACAAACUAAAAUGUUCUCACAUUUCCAUUCCUAGUUUCUAACACCCAACACCCAUGUAGGGAUAAAGUCAGGGAAGAGCAUUUCAUUCCUGACUUCUUAUCUCAUUCUCCACAUUCCAAGUUGCCAUAUACUCAUGGAAAGGGCAUUCCCAGUCCUAGUCUUCAAUUCCCACCAGUCAAACAGAGCCUAGAAGAUAGACGGGGCCCAAACCAUCUUGAGGAAUGAGACCAGUCAAACAGAGCCUAGAAGAUAGACGGGGCCCAAACCAUCUUGAGGAAUGAGGAUGCACUAUCAUGAAGGAGUUGACAAUAAGUCUCCAUGGCAAACACUUUUAACCCUCAAAAGAUGCCUCACUUCUCAAGAAGAUGAUCACAACAAUACUAACACCUAAAAAAUGUUUAUGUUAGCAAAAAUAUAAAUAAAUACGUACAUACACAUGUAUGCGUAUACAUGCACAUAAACAUGCACAUACAAGCAUAAGAAGACUAACUAAUGAAAUAUUUAUGUAAUGUCCCAAAUAGGCACAUAGGUGGGUUAAGGGAUAAGUAAAUGGCUUACAUAAACCGAAACCUAACUACUAAACAAACCUUGGUUAACCAUUUUGUGCCAGGUAUUUUAAGGCCUGAAUGUUAUUUGCGCUAUUUAGGCUUCGGUGUUAAAAUUAGUAUCAAAGCCGCCCUGGGUCAAAACAUUGUGCAAAACUGGUGAGCUUGUGAGGAAAGAGCUACCCAUGGUUAGAGACGACGAUAAGCCGUCCAAUACACCAACAAACCAUAAUAUCUAAGAGUUCGGUACUCACUUGGCCAUCGUAUCCAACACAACAUCAAAAUGAGCAUGGAUUGUGACGAGGACGUAACAAAUUUUAAGUAGCAAGAUUGUAACGUCCCACAUCAGUGGGUUAAGGAAAAGAAAAUGGUUUAUAUACAUCAAGGCCAAACUACAAUAAAUAAAUUGGGUUAACCAUUUUGGACUAGUGGUUUAGGAUUUGAAAGUUAUUUGAGCAUGUUGAAUCUAGGGAGUUACAAUUUAAGCCUAAUGACCUAACAAGUCAUGUACAUUGUUACAUAUCCUUCCUCUUUAAGGACUUUCAUCAAAGAGGUGGAAGUAUCAUGAGAAAUAAGGUAUACACCAUCACCAUUCUCUGUCCUCGACACUUCUUUGAGAAACUCAACUUCUCAAGACAUGUAUUAGCCUUUGGUGAAACCAUAUAUAGCUUUCUAGAAUAAGGGAAGAGUUAAUACCCACAUUAGACAUCCUUCAGUUUUCAUAACAUGUUGCAAUUUGAAUUUUCUGUGACAAAGAAAAGUUAUCAUGCACCUUACUUAAAUACAACUGUUACUGCCCACACAGCAAAUGGGAAAACAAGUUUAAUUAAAUGAUAGGCUCUAUAUCUCCUCCACAAAACAUUGGGAUAUAGUUAACUGACAGGUUAGUUCAAAGAGAUUAAUGAGGGCCUAGUGAAAAGUGAAAACAACAACUGUAUGCAUGUCAAAUUUGAUACAAGACUUAAUAAUGUGCCAACAUAAAAUAAAUGGAUAAUACUUGAAGCAUUGCUUAGGAAGGGCCAACAAAUACGAUCCUAAUGAAACACACUGAUAAUAAAGUUCUCAAUAAACUUAGCAAUUUAUAACAGUUGUUAGGCUCAAUUUCUACAGAAGCUACAAAGACUUAUGGGGUAAUAACUCAAGCAUCAUCAAUUUACAUGGAGAUACAUAAUACUGCAAAUUCAUAUACAAAUUGCAAAAUAGGAAUUCCAAUUGUGACAUAAUUCAUCAAAACAAAUGGUAUUUACUUCAUACCAUGAUAAAGGUAAAUAAAUAAAUGAAUAUACAUAUAUUCAACAGCCUCAACUUGGCACCAAAAUGAAAAUAUCCAAAUGUUAAAGUACAUUCCCAAAUACUAUCAGCAACCAACUGCAAAAAUGGAAUAAGAUACUACCUUCCAUUUAAGUGGAUUCAACGAACAAAAAGGAAAACAAAAUGUGGAAUGCCAGCUGUACAAAAUAAAAGAGGAUUUUCCCUAACAGAAGAGGUAAAAAUGAUUUUUGCAGUGUUCAAUAUGGUGAGAAGGUAGAUUGCUAACAAGCACAUCAAUUUCAUACCAUGUACAAGUCAUGAAAUCCCAUGUACAAUUAAACUUUAUUUUCACUUUGAAAUGUAUUUCCAAAGACCUCUCCAGGAUAACUCCCCCAGUCCCCAAACACAAACACACCUAAAACAAAGGAGUAGAUCUAAACAGAGAAAUCAGCAGAACCAAAAAUGGCUAUUGUGACUUGGGUGAAAUAGCAAGUACACAUGAAAAACUAUAUGCGUACAUACAUACCUCAUAUGUGCACAUAUAAUAUGUAGAUAGAAGUGGAAAAGAAAUCAAUUUAUCACUCAUGACAUCUACAUAUCCUCUUGUGAAUCCAAAUCAAGAGGUCCUUUAGCAACUCUUGAUAAAUAAUAGAACAACAAAACUAACUGCAAUCCAGGUCAAUUUAUACUCAUACUGGCUCCUAAAGUAACUACUGCAAUAUAACAAAAAUAUUACUGUAUAUCAAAAUUAUCCCGAUUCCAAUUUCAAUCUCAUUUUGCAUCAAACCUAUAAUUAUUUUUCACCCCAAAAAUAUUGAAGUAAAAACACGUACAAAAAUAUACUUGAAAAAUUCUAUCGUGGCAAGAAUGUCAGAAAUAAAAGAAUAUCUCAAAUAUCCAAUUAAAAAACAACGAAAUAGCCACAUGCAAUAACAGACAUAGGCACAAGCAGAAAAAUCAACCACAAAGGACAAACCUUUCACAGGCAUCCUCAAGAGAAGAAAAUGGCCUCUUGACAUCCGGGUGGCAGACCCGCCAAGCGUCCUGGUAAGCCAUCUGGAGCUCCACCUGGUUGAGUGGGGGCCGGAUCCCCUUCUGCUGCUGC